UACGGAGGGUGCAAGCGUUAUCCGGAUUCACUGGGUUUAAAGGGUGCGUAGGCGGGUUGGUAAGUCCGUGGUGAAAUCCCCAAGCUUAACUUGGGAACUGCCGUGGAUACUAUCAAUUCUUGAAUAUCGUGGAGGUAAGCGGAAUAUGUCAUGUAGCGGUGAAAUGCUUAGAUAUGACAUAGAACACCAAUUGCGUAGGCAGCUUACUACACGAUCAUUGACGCUGAGGCACGAAAGCGUGGGGAGCAAACAGG
rnacentral:rRNA from 1 species